rnacentral:rRNA from 1 species
CCUACGGGAGACAGCAGUGAGGAAUAUUGGUCAAUGGGAGAGAUCCUGAACCAGCCAAGCCGCGUGAGGGAAGACGGCCCUAUGGGUUGUAAACCUCUUUUGUCGGAGAACAAAACCCGGGACGUGUCCCGGACUGCGUGUAUCCGAAGAAAAAGCAUCGGCUAACUCCGUGCCAGCAGCCGCGGUAAUACGGAGGAUGCGAGCGUUAUCCGGAUUUAUUGGGUUUAAAGGGUGCGUAGGCGGGCUUUUAAGUCAGCGGUAAAAAUUCGGGGCUCAACCCCGUCCGGCCGUUGAAACUGGGGGCCUUGAGUGGGCGAGAAGAAGGCGGAAUGCGUGGUGUAGCGGUGAAAUGCAUAGAUAUCACGCAGAACCCCGAUUGCGAAGGCAGCCUUCCGGCGCCCUACUGACGCUGAGGCACGAAAGUGCGGGGAUCGAACAGGAUUAGAUACCCCGGUAGUC